AGGCGAGGGACACCUCCAGGAGCCACUCUGGGACUCUGUACCCCGUCAAUCAUAGCUUCUCUCAAGAAUGAAGUUGAGGAGCAACUCCUGGCCCAUCAAAACGUUCCCACGCGGGGAACUGUGCCGACUGGGGAGUGGUGGAAAUCAAGUGACUUCUAGUGACCCUGAGUGAUCCUCUUCUGAAGACUAGAAGCCUUACACCAAGCACUGGCAGAGCUAGGCUCCCACCAAAGGCCCGAGAGGAGAAGCCUUGCAGCUCUUGUGCCUGCAGCUGCAUUGCUCCAGUUUUAUGUCA